rnacentral:miRNA from 1 species
GGAACAUCAUGUUCGCCUU